GACGAACGCUGGCGGCGUGCCUAAUACAUGCAAGUCGAACGAGAGCGACCGGUGCUUGCACUGGUCACUCUAGUGGCGAACGGGUGAGUAACACGUGGGUAACCUGCCCAUCAGAGGGGGAUAACAUCCGGAAACGGAUGCUAAAACCGCAUAGGUCUUCGAGCCGCAUGGCUUGAAGAGGAAAAGAGGCGCAAGCUUCUGCUGAUGGAUGGACCCGCGGUGCAUUAGCUAGUUGGUGAGGUAACGGCUCACCAAGGCCGUGAUGCAUAGCCGACCUGAGAGGGUGAUCGGCCACAUUGGGACUGAGACACGGCCCAAACUCCUACGGGAGGCAGCAGUAGGGAAUCUUCCGCAAUGGACGCAAGUCUGACGGAGCAACGCCGCGUGAGUGAAGAAGGUUUUCGGAUCGUAAAACUCUGUUGUUAGAGAAGAACAAGUGCUAGAGUAACUGUUAGCGCCUUGACGGUAUCUAACCAGAAAGCCACGGCUAACUACGUG
rnacentral:rRNA from 1 species